CUCUGGACUGAGAGAUUCUAAAACUGCUGCUGCUGUUGUUGCCACCAUUUACAAGGUCUACAACUGGUGCUGCUGAGUGGGCUCUGAAUCAGCCCUCACCCCCAUGUCAUAGACUUUAUUUAGAAGAGGAGUGGAGAAGUGGAGGCAAUGAGUGGUGAUGAGGUACACCUAUAAUUAUGAGAAAUCAUGAACAAGGACUUAGAAAAAGCUGUCAAACUUGAAAAGCUAGGACAUCCCCAACCACCACUCACUGAGGAGGAAACUGAGGCACACAAGAUUAGGUAAUUUGCCCACGGUGACCC
rnacentral:lncRNA from 1 species